rnacentral:lncRNA from 1 species
AGUUAUUUCAAGUCCGGUCUAUUCUCAAGAGGCUCCUAGACUCCACUGAGCUUCACUCUCCUUUCCUGCAGCACCCGAAGAAGCUUAAUUAUGUUGCCAUCAGAGGAGUCCCUGGUGGUUUCAUUGUCUGCAUUUCUUGAUUUAUCAGCAAACAACAACAAAAAAAAACCGCACACUCCUACAACAGAAAAACCCACACCAGAGAAGCACAGAAAGCCUUCCACAAAUGGAGAGAAAGGAGAAUUCUGUGUCGUAUAUAGAAACAACCAGCAACUUCUGAGAUGAAUAUUUAUUCUUUAAAGCUCCUGGUAUUUGUGCUGUAUACAUUGUCAUCGUUAAAAAUGUGAAGGCGGUCAAUAAACUCUCCAAACAGAGCAACCUCUUGGGCUUGUGAGCAUCUGCAAGAAGAAAAUUUCAUACCCUACAGCCUGGAAAAGGAAAUGCCUCAACCAAUUUUCCUGCACAGUGUGGAUGGAGUGACAAACACCUUCCCAGAGAGCCUCCAAGGAGGCAAACAAGGCAGAGGAGAGAAAGAACAUAGAAAAAUCCAUGUCUUGCAAAUGCCAAGAGAGAAAACAAUCAAAUUAUCUGGCAAGUCGAUCAUUCAGUGCAGUGUUGGGUUGGGGGUGGGGGAACUGAGAAUCUUGAAAAUCUUCUCGCAUGGGGAAGCAUGCACUACCUUUGCCUGGAACAGCAAAGGAAGCAAUGUUGAGAGGCCUUUUAUCUCAGCAUCCUGCGGGGCCUCCAGUUUGUGCUGCCAGGGGACAGAAUGCUUCUCCAUGGUGGUAGCUCUUUUUCUGCUCAGCUGCCAAGAGGCUGGCAUGUGUGUGGCUCAGCAGUGUGGCCCUCAGCCAGGGCCCGGCCAGCAGCAGCCACCCUCAGAGGAGGAGCACCUGUUCUCCCUAGCCUGGCAUUGA